UACGGGGGGGGUAAGCGUUGUUCGGAAUUACUGGGAGUAAAGGGCUCGUAGGUGGCCAACUAAGUCAGACGUGAAAUCCCUCGGCUUAACCGGGGAACUGCGUCUGAUACUGGAUGGCUUGAGUUCGGGAGAGGGAUGCGGAAUUCCAGGUGUAGCGGUGAAAUGCGUAGAUAUCUGGAGGAACACCGGUGGCGAAGGCGGCAUCCUGGACCGGUAUUGACGCUGAGGCGCGAAAGCCAGGGGAGCAAACGGG
rnacentral:rRNA from 1 species